UUAAGCCUGUCACAUGUGCAUCCACUGAUCCGCAUCGCGAUUAAUUAUGAAUAAAAAUGAGAUUUUUUUUUUGCCUUCUACAUAACAUUUUUCUCCUUUAGCUACGGAGCCGCACAUGUGCGCUGUGACCUGCACCAAAUCUUCAGCCUCAUGUGAAAGCUCUCCGAGCCUGCAACAGCGCCUGCUGCCCCGGGGGGCUGGAUGGCAGCCCUGGGCCUCGCGGCCGAUCCGCGGGACGUGCUGCAUGGCCAGCAGCAGAUUUCGGUCAGUCCCAGCGGCUCCUGUCCCGCAGACACAGGAGCAAUGGCAAACAUCUCCAAGUGCUCCUCGCUCUCGCUCCUCUUUGCUGAGCAUCCACCUUGCAAGUUCCCCGGUGCAGGUGGGUGUUCGGCUCCUAUCUGGCUUUGCUUCAACGCAGCCUCUGCUGCCGGGAAACUUGGAUGAAUUUUUCUAACUUCUGCAUUCGGCUUUGAGCUCUUGUGUACUUCUCUGCAAGACUGAGACUACCAAACUGUCAAGAACUCUUCUCACAGAGACCAGGGCAUCUCUCAAUCUUCUCUUCAGCAAGCUGAACAGUGUGUACACUUCCAGUCUCAUACCAGAGCUUGUUUUCUGAUGCCUGGAUUGUACAUUUGGCUUUCCCUUGCAGAAUUUCUGUGUUCUUUUUAAUUCUGGACACUCACCUUGGAAAUAACAUCGCAGUGGUGCAAUAACAGUGCCAUGAGCAGAGGUGAGAAUGCUCCCCUAAUUCUGUUUGAUAUCUUCCUUUGUAAAUUCAGGGAAGGUGUUAGCUGCUUUCAGUGUGGUGUUGAAAUGGGAGCUCAUGUAGCGGCAGUUACCUGCAAUCAUUCCCAAGACUUCUUCUGAGUUGCUGCUUCCCAAGCCCCAUCUUGUAAAUGAGGACUGCAGUCUGUGCUCCCAGGAGCCUUACCUUGCAUGCAACUGUAUUCAAACGUACCUAGCUGGAUUAUGGCCAUUUCGCCAGGCAAUUUAGAUCACACUGGAACAGCAACCCGGCCUACUCGUUAUUAACAGCCUUACCAGGCAUUGCAUCACCUGCAGACUUAGCCAUCACAGAUUUUCUAUGAUCAUAGGAUAAAAACAUGUGCAGUGUUGUAACAGGGACCAAGUCCAUGAGGGACUGUGCUAAGGACAACUCCAUCCACAGUGUCUCCUCAGUAACAACCACACUUUAAGAUCUUUCUGUGAGACAGAUUUUAGUCCAUCUAGUGUGUGCCCUAAUAAUUCCUUAAAAAGCAUGUUUUUUAAUCAAAAUGUCAUGUAGUAGUAAGUGAAAUAGUUUGGAGAAAUCCAGCUUUGCUAUAGCAGUAUACUUAUCUUUAUCAACCAGACCUAUAAUUCUGUCCAAAAAAGACCCCACAAAACCCCCUAAGCAGACCAGGUGAUGUGCAGGUCUCUGGGCCAUGCCUUUAAGUUUUUCUAAACACUGGAAC
rnacentral:lncRNA from 1 species